GGAGCACCUCCUGUGAAGACAGAUCUGAUUGCUAACUGAAGAACCUGAAAACAACAGAACAACCGGUGCUGUAGAUCUGUUAUGAGGAAAAUCCAAGUUCUGAUCCUGGAAGGCAGCGAAAUCCCGCUCCUUAUGUUAUGAAGGCAUCUUCUGCAUAGAGUCUACAUUGCUUGAUUUAUACACAGUCAUUUGGAGGACCUCCACACUUCUAUCUGUCAUCCCAGGAUGAGGUGUGAACAAUCCAUUUACCCAGUGGGAAAUUAAAGAAAACCUGAAGUAAGGAGAAUAAUCGGAUUGUUUCAGUUCCUGCCUCUAUCAGUUGCUAUUCUGUGCCUCUUCUCUCCCUGCACUGUGACACA
rnacentral:lncRNA from 1 species